rnacentral:rRNA from 1 species
GACGUAGGGCGCGAGCGUUGUCCGGAUUUAUUGGGCGUAAAGAGCUCGUAGGCGGCUUGUCGCGUCGUUCGUGAAAACCUGCAGCUCAACUGCAGGCUUGCGGGCGAUACGGGCAGGCUAGAGUUCGGUAGGGGAGACUGGAAUUCCUGGUGUAGCGGUGAAAUGCGCAGAUAUCAGGAGGAACACCGGUGGCGAAGGCGGCCAGCUGGCGCUGACCUGACGCUGAGGCGCGAAGGCAUGGGGAGCGAACGGG